rnacentral:rRNA from 1 species
CUAAGCAUAUCAAUAAGCGGAGGAAAAGAAACUAACAAGGAUUCCCCUAGUAACUGCGAGUGAAGAGGGAAAAGCUCAAAUUUAAAAUCUGGUAGUCUCUGGCUGCCCGAGUUGUAAUCUAGAGAAGCAUUAUCCGCGCCGGACCAUGUACAAGUUUUCCUGGAAUGGAGCGUCAUAGAGGGUGAGAAUCCCGUCUUUGACAUGGGCUACCGGGGCUUUGUGAUGUGCUCUCCAAGAGUCGAGUUGUUUGGGAAUGCAGCUCUAAAUGGGUGGUAAAUUCCAUCUAAAGCUAAAUAUUGGCGAGAGACCGAUAGCGAACAAGUACCGUGAGGGAAAGAUGAAAAGAACUUUGGAAAGAGAGUUAAACAGUACGUGAAAUUGUUGAAAGGGAAACGCUUGAAGUCAGUCGCGUCUGCCAGGAAUCAACCUUGCAUUUUUGCUGGGUGUACUUUCUGGUUGGACGGGUCAGCAUCAAUUUUGAUCAGUGGAAAAAGUUCAGAGGAAUGUGGCACCUUCGGGUGUGUUAUAGCCUUUGUUCGUAUACAUUGAUUGGGAUUGAGGAACUCAGCAUGCCGUAAGGCCGGGUCUUUUGACUACGUUCAUGCUUAGGAUGCUGGCAUAAUGGCUUUAAUCGACCCGUCUUGAAACACGGACCAAGGAGUCUAACAUGCCCGCGAGUGUUUGGGUGGAAAACCCAGACGCGUAAUGAAAGUGAAGGUUGAGAUCCCUGUCGUGGGGAGCAUCGACGCCCGGACCAGAACUUCUGUGACGGAUCCGCGGUAGAGCGUGUAUGUUGGGACCCGAAAGAUGGUGAACUAUGCCUGAAUAGGGUGAAGCCAGAGGAAACUCUGGUGGAGGCUCGUAGCGAUUCUGACGUGCAAAUCGAUCGUCAAAUUUGGGUAUAGGGGCGAAAGACUAAUCGAACCAUCUAGUAGCUGGUUCCUGCCGAG